AGAGCACCCAUCCUGGUGGGGCCAGACAAAGAAAUGGUGAAGAAAUGCACAGAUACACUACUUGCUGGUAACAGUCAGUGCUCUGAGGAAAAGGGAAGAGGAUAACAGGAUGGAUUCUGAGAGAUGCCUUCCCACGUGUGUGAGACCAUUGCUGUGGAAAGAAGCUGGGCCUGACUUCUGGGCUCUGGUGUGAAAUAACAGAUCCAUGCAUUCUGAGUAAACAACAGAACCCCUUCUGGCUUCUACAGGAGGAACCAAAUGGCUUGAGCAUUCAGAGCCCAAUGGAGACCAAGACUGAUACACUAUACUCAUG